rnacentral:tmRNA from 1 species
GGGGGCGACCUGGAUUCGACGUGGGUCGCGAAACCGAAGGGGCAUGUCGAGGUGCAGUGACCUCGUAAAUCCAUCUGCAAACUUUUAGUUGCCAACGACGACAACUACGCACUCGCUGCUUAAUACCCAGUAGGGUGCCGUCUGACUGAAGCCGUGCUGGUGCGUUCAGGUUUCAGGCGUCAUAUCUCACCGGAUCGCGAAGCGGCUUGCUCGUGGCCAAAUUGCUAAACCUAAGCGAGCUCGCUGAGCGUCGUCCCUGCCCACCGGGUAGCGCUCGGUUAAAACAAUAGAGGGGAUACACAUGUAGAACCGACGGCAGAGGGCUUGCGGACGCGGGUUCGAUUCCCGCCGCCUCCACCA